GAGUUUGAUCUUGGCUCAGAACGAACGCUGGCGGCGUGCUUAACACAUGCAAGUCGAACGCGAAAGUUUUCUUCGGAAGACGAGUAGAGUGGCGCACGGGUGAGUAACGCGUAAGUAAUCUGCCCUGGUAUCCGGGAUAACCCACCGAAAGGUGUGCUAAUACGGGAUACGCUGAUUUAUCAGGAAAGGUGGCCUCUUCAUGAAAGCUACUGUACCAGGAGGAGCUUGCGUACCAUUAGCUAGUUGGUAGGGUAAUGGCCUACCAAGGCGACGAUGGUUAGCGGGUCUGAGAGGAUGAUCCGCCACACUGGAACUGAAACACGGACCAGACUCCUACGGGAGGCAGCAGUGAGGAAUUUUGCGCAAUGAGGGAAACCCUGACGCAGCAACGCCGCGUGAGUGAAGAAGGCCUUCGGUUGU
rnacentral:rRNA from 1 species